UACGUAGGGUGCGAGCGUUGCCCGGAUUUAUUGGGCGUAAAGGGCGCGUAGGCGGCUCGGCACGUCCGUUGUGAAAUCGCCCGGCUCAACUGGGCGGGGUCGGCGGAUACGGCCGAGCUGGAGCAAGCUAGGGGGUAAUGGAAUUCCCGGUGUAGUGGUGGAAUGCGUAGAUAUCAGGAGGAACACCUGCGGUGUAGACGGCUUACUGGACCACCACUGACGCUGAGGCACGAAAGCGUGGGUAGCAAACAGG
rnacentral:rRNA from 1 species